GCUCCCCGUGCCGGGCCGGCUACCGCGCUGCCAGGCGGCGGGUGGUGCCUGCGGGCGGGGCCGGGCCGCGCCGGGCCGGGCGGAGCCAAUGGAGCGGCGGGGGCGGGCCCGGCGCGGCGGAGCGGAGCGGGAGGGUGGCAGGAAGCUUAUUCCCGUAAAGAGGGAUGCUUGGCCUCCAGAUCUUAGAUAUCUUUGCCCAGGCUUUAUGCAUGGCAUGAUAUAAGGGACAAAAAGCAAGGCAAAGCAAAGCAAAGCAUGGAAGCCAUACCACCUCCUGAGGGUAUAUUGAAAGGGACAAGAGAGUAAUGCUAACCCUUAAAAAACAGUAAAAUAAGCAACUACACAAACCUCCCCACUUUUAGAAUCAAGUUGUUACCAUUUUUGCUUGUCCCUAAUCUUCAAACCACUGACCCAAGUUUUAGAACAAAAGGUUUUGGCAGUAGUAUAGAGAAUUUUGCCUAAACACAUCUGAUUCAUAUACUGCUACACAAUAGCAAUGAAAAAAGAAAAUUCUCCUCAAAAGCUAACACCAAUCAUCAUAUCCUGACAGAAACCAGAGGAAAGACUCAGAGGGUCUGGUCCCCAGAAUGCAGGAUCUCCACCCCUGCUUUAAAGCCUUAGUCAUGACAUCCCCUUGUCCCAGUGAACUGCAAGAGCAUUUCAAAGGAGGGCACUUGUCUACCAGAACACUCAAAGUCAUGAUGCAAACCAUGGAACCUAAGCGCAUACCUGAACUGAAUCCAAAGAAGAGUCCAUCAAACAAAUAGAUAUACGUAAAAAUGGCACCUCAUGUAGGGCUACAAACAAAGCCGUAACUUGAAAUAGCAGCAGGUAGGAAAAUAGAGGUAUCAGCAGGGAGUUGGGAGGAACCUUCUGGAGGUACAGUGAAAAAUAACCUGUCUACAAAAAUUACAGUGAAACAGCAUGCUUCUGAAUUUCAGCAAGAUUUUUAUGCAGAUGGGGAUUUACUUUUUCUGCACCUGCUGUCAGUACGCAUUAGACCAUAAACAUCAGCAAACAUUGAUUAAGCAUAUUGCCCAAAUGAAACAUUAGGCAAAGAAGGAAGGAAGCAUCCCAGAAACUCUAAGUCAUCAAAGACAAAUUACUCAUCCUGCAGCAAUUUUAGGCAGAGUCAUUGCUGCUUAUCAAACUCAACUGUGUUGAAAGUUUUGUAGAUUUCUUUUUAGUAGAUGUAACACAACUUUUUUAUUUGACAACUCCCAGAGAUCAGCCGUCAUCAACACCAACAAAACUAUGGAAAUCAGAUUACUGGUCAGAUGCAUGAAGGGAUAGUUCUUAAACUGCAUCUCUCUGGAGAAAAUAUGCCAAAAAAAAAGCACUUCCGUGGUAGCAGGGACUGGAAUCAUGGCAGAAGAAAGACCAGCAGAAGGCCCUUUUGACCCUGGAAUUACCAGGCUGAAAUAUGACUCCUCUACUUCUUAGCCGAAUGUUUGCUGCUUCGAAGUGUUUCAGGACAAUACAAGCAUCAGGAAUGCACCUGUCUGCUGCACUCUUGUCUCAUUAUUGAGCAUAAACAGCCAGAGUCUGGUCAGCAGUAUUUAAAGCUGUGUGGCAGAGAGAAAGGCAUGAAAGUUACAGAUUAGGAAUGAGGAAAAAGUCUGAGCAGACAUACAAUCUCUUUCUCCUGGAUACAAUCUCUUUCUCCUGGUGGAAUAGACUUACCCAAAACUAGAACUCUAGUAUUCAGCAACCAUCUUCUCUCCAGUAUCAUAAAUGGUUCAUGAAUAAUUGCAAGAUGCAUGUGUCGGUUUUGGUGUGAUUUAAUCCAUGUUCCAGCUGUUAUUUUCAACAGCAUGAAGCACUACAGGUAAAGGUUAUCCAUAACAUAUUGAAAGGCUUGUUUCUGUGUGUUAACAACAUAUUGCAGGAGGAGUUUAUUAUGCAGACAUGCUUAGUUACAGAUGAGCUUCAAUAAAUAAUAAAAAUGUUAACAUAUUGCUCCAAUAAAUAAAAUAUGUGUCAUAUGGGGCUUCGUUGCUGUGUGACUCCAGAGAAUCUUGAAGUUAAUGGCAUUUACAGGGAUCAGACCUGUUCUGUUUCCUGAGGAUGGAGAUCCUGAUUGCCCCUGAAGUGGUGCCCACCCUAGCUGUUGUACUAGGUUCAUGUGACAAGGUUUUGGUAGGGGGGAGUUGGGGGGCUGCAGGGGUGGCUUCUGUGAGAAGCUGCCAGAAGCUUCCCCCAUGUCCAAUAGAGCCAAUGCCCGCCGGCUUCAAGACAGACCCACUGCUGUCCAAGGCUAAGCCCAUCAGCAACGGUGGUAGCACCUCUGUGAUAUCAUAUUUAAGAAGGGGGAAAAAAUCUGCAAUUGCAGCCAGAGAGAGGAGUGAGAAUAUGUGUGAGAAACAACGCUGCAGACACCAAGGUCAGUGAAGAGGAAGUCAUGGGGAAGGUGCUCCAGGUGCCAGAGCAGACAUUACCCUGCAGCUCAUAGUGAAGACCAUGGUGAGGCAGGUUGUCCCCCUGCAGCCCAUGGAGGGCCGUGGUGGAGCUGAUAUCGACCUGCAGCCUGUGGAGGACCCCACACUGGUGCAGGUCGAUGUGCCCAAAGGAUGCUGUUAACCCAUAGGAAGCCCAUGCUGGAGCAGACUCCUCGCAGGACCUGUGACCCUGUGGAGAGAGGAGGCCACACUGGAGCAGGCUUGCUGGCAGGACUUGUGACCCUGUGGGGGACUCACGCUGGAGCAGCCUGUUCCUGAAGGAGUGCGCCCUGUGGAAAGGACCCACGUUGGAGCAGUUCAUGAAGAACUGCAGCCCAUGGGAAGAACCCACAUUGGGGAAGUUUGUGGACGACUGUCUCCCAUGGGAGGGACCCCACACUGGAUCAGGGGCAGAGUGUGAGGAGUCGUCCCCCUGAGGAGGAAGGAGCGGCAGAGACAAUGUGUGAUGGACGGACCACAACUCCCAUUCCCCAUCCACCUGUACCACUGAGGGGAGGAGGCAGAGAAAAUUGGGAGUGAAGUUGAGCCUGAGAAGAAGGGAGGCGUGGGGGGAACGUGUUUUAAGGUUUGGUUUUAUUCUUCAUUACCCUACUCUGAUUUGAUUGGUAAUAAAUUAAACUAAUUUUCCCAAGUCAAAUCUGUUUUGCCUGUGAUAGUAACUAGUGAGUGAUCUCCUCCUGUCCUUAUCUCUACCCUCCAUCCUUUCAUUAUAUUUUCUCUUCCCUGUCCAGCUGAGGAGGGGAGUUAGAGAGCAGUUUUGGUGGGUACCUGGUGUCCAGCCAGGUCAACUAACCACAGCUGUAUGUCACAGCCAGGAAGUUUAGUUGAAUCCGGAAUCUCUCCUGUGCGAUGACAGAUGCUCUGAAUAUCAUACUACAACCUGCUAACUGUGUGCAAUUAUUGUGAUGCUUAAUGAGCAUGAGCAGAUGAACUAGCCAUCCACAUCUGUGUAUGCCUGACUUACAAGUGAUCACUGACUUCUCUUCAGGCUGAGCUUUAACGAAUCUUCACAAGUAAUUCAAAUAUAGUUUUAAUCCAUCUCAGUUAAUCCAUAACAAAGCAGUAAUAAUGCUAGAAGUUCUUUAAACUCCUCAGAGCAAACUCCUCCUAGCCCACAUAUAAAUUCUGGAGAAUGUUUAACCUUAAAAGACAAUGAGAAAGUUUUGGGAAGGUAAAUUGCCAAUGCGGUGAAUUCACGGUAAAAUGAGAAGAAAAAAGUGAGUUAUAUUUUGACUUUUAAACCUUAUAAUGUAUUGAUGAAGUGUGUAACUUUUAAAUCACAUUUGCAAUUCCCUGCAAAGCUGAGUAAUGUACUAUGGGUCUUCGUAAAGUGAAAGACAGCGUCUUGGCUGAGCAUUUCAAUUUGCAAUAUAUUAAUGUCUUCUCACACUACAUACUGAAUACGAAGCUUACCUAUCACCAAUGUUUCAGUUCUGUCUUCUCAUAUGCGGACCCAUUUUGUACACCAAUCACUUUGCUACCCAGCUUUGUUUGCAGAAAGCAGGAAGAGAAGUAUUAUUUAGCAUAGUAAUUAUCCUUUUAGCCAGGCUGUUUUUCUCUUGAAAAUGGGAUCUCAAGCACUUACUGCAAUUCAGAUACUAGAGUAUGUCACACCUGAGCACUUGGCCUUACUAGACUUAUUCAGGCUAAAUGCCAUUUGAUAAGCUUUAGAGGAAAAUGAAUUGUAUAUACUGAUGCAUUGAAAUUGAUUUUAUUUUAAUUCACCUAACUCAUAACUAAGAAUAUAUUCUGCUUUUCUUUUUGUAUUGUGAGAGCUUUGAUAGGCAAUAUUGUGAGGUUCCAGUAACUGAAUAUUAUUAAGGAGAACGCAUCGCUUCUGUGUUCAAAUGACAGGCAUUAAUUUCAAUGGUCAUAACAAUAUCAUGUGGUCUCAUGCUUAGGAACUUGGCCAUCAACGUAUUUUAAAAGCAAAAUAAAUUGGAUUUCUUUUGCUUGA